GUCGAGCGGCGGACGGGUGAGUAACACUUAGGAAUYUACYUAGUAGUGGGGGAUAGCUCGGGGGAAACUCGAAUUAAUACCGCAUACGACCUACGGGAGAAAGGGGGCAGUUUACUGCUCUCGCUAUUAGAUGAGCCUAAGUCGGAUUAGCUAGAUGGUGGGGUAAAGGCCUACCAUGGCGACGAUCUGUAGCUGGUCUGAGAGGAUGAUCAGCCACACCGGGACUGAGACACGGCCCGGACUCCUACGGGAGGCAGCAGUGGGGAAUAUUGGACAAUGGGGGAAACCCUGAUCCAGCCAUGCCGCGUGUGUGAAGAAGGCCUUUUGGUUGUAAAGCACUUUAAGCAGUGAAGAAGACCAUAUGGUUAAUACCCAUAUGCGAUGACAUUAGCUGCAGAAUAAGCACCGGCUAACUCUGUGCCAGCAGCCGCGGUAAUACAGAGGGUGCAAGCGUUAAUCGGAAUUACUGGGCGUAAAGCGAGCGUAGGUGGCUUGAUAAGUCAGAUGUGAAAUCCCCGGGCUUAACCUGGGAACUGCAUCUGAUACUGUUAAGCUAGAGUAGGUGAGAGGGAAGUAGAAUUCCAGGUGUAGCGGUGAAAUGCGUAGAGAUCUGGAGGAAUACCGAUGGCGAAGGCAGCUUCCUGGCAUCAUACUGACACUGAGGCUCGAAAGCGUGGGUAGCAAACAGGAUUAGAUACCCUGGUAGUCCACGCCGUAAACGAUGUCUACUAGUCGUUGGGUCCCUUGAGGACUUAGUGACGCAGCUAACGCAAUAAGUAGACC
rnacentral:rRNA from 1 species